rnacentral:rRNA from 1 species
CCUACGGGUGGCAGCAGUGGGGAAUAUUGCACAAUGGGCGCAAGCCUGAUGCAGCCAUGCCGCGUGUGUGAAGAAGGCCUUCGGGUUGUAAAGCACUUUCAGCGGGGAGGAAGGCGGUGAGGUUAAUAACCUCAUCGAUUGACGUUACCCGCAGAAGAAGCACCGGCUAACUCCGUGCCAGCAGCCGCGGUAAUACGGAGGGUGCAAGCGUUAAUCGGAAUUACUGGGCGUAAAGCGCACGCAGGCGGUCUGUCAAGUCGGAUGUGAAAUCCCCGGGCUCAACCUGGGAACUGCAUUCGAAACUGGCAGGCUAGAGUCUUGUAGAGGGGGGUAGAAUUCCAGGUGUAGCGGUGAAAUGCGUAGAGAUCUGGAGGAAUACCCGUGGCGAAGGCGACUGCCUGGACCAGUACUGACACUGAGGCACGAAAGCGUGGGGAGCAAACAGGAUUAGAUACCCGGGUAGUC